rnacentral:rRNA from 1 species
AUGGCCGACCAACGUAGAGGCCAUCGUCUGCAGCCACAAGGAGUGGGUGAUGUUGAAGAUGGCCGUGGGACUGCGGAGCUCCGGCAAGACAUAGGAUGCUGUGGUGUGGCACGGAGCUCAGCGGUCGAAAACAAGACUAGAACCGUCGUACUUGCGGUUAUGGUAAUCGGCCUAUGUUCCUUCUUCUACCUCUUGGGCGCGUGGCAAGCAAAACAGGUUGGAGGAGGGGACUGCAUAGCAAGAAGGCUGAUUGAGGAGACGAAAUGUGUGGUUCUGGAGGGUCUUCAUGUGGAGACUCAUCUUGUCCUCGGUGACAAGCCCUCGUGGAGAUGA